rnacentral:rRNA from 1 species
CCUACGGGAGGCAGCAGUGGGGAAUAUUGCACAAUGGGCGAAAGCCUGAUGCAGCGACGCCGCGUGAGGGAUGACGGCCUUCGGGUUGUAAACCUCUUUCAGCAGGGAAGAAGCGAGAGUGACGGUACCUGCAGAAGAAGCGCCGGCUAACUACGUGCCAGCAGCCGCGGUAAUACGUAGGGCGCAAGCGUUGUCCGGAAUUAUUGGGCGUAAAGAGCUCGUAGGCGGCUUGUUGCGUCGGUUGUGAAAGCCCGGGGCUUAACCCCGGGUCUGCAGUCGAUACGGGCAGGCUAGAGUGUGGUAGGGGAGAUCGGAAUUCCUGGUGUAGCGGUGAAAUGCGCAGAUAUCAGGAGGAACACCGGUGGCGAAGGCGGAUCUCUGGGCCAUUACUGACGCUGAGGAGCGAAAGCGUGGGGAGCGAACAGGAUUAGAUACCCUGGUAGUCCACGCCGUAAACGUUGGGAACUAGGUGUUGGCGACAUUCCACGUCGUCGGUGCCGCAGCUAACGCAUUAAGUUCCCGCCUGGGGAGUACGGCCGCAAGGCUAAACUACGAAUGAGUGNGNGNGNGCGAGCGACGACGACGGAGAGGAG